rnacentral:rRNA from 1 species
ACGUAGGGGGCAAGCGUUGUCCGGAUUUAUUGGGCGUAAAGGGCUCGUAGGCGGCUCAACAAGUCGGUCGUGAAAACCCAGGGCUCAACCCUGGGACGCCGGUCGAUACUGUUGUGGCUUGGGUCCGGUAGAGGAGAAUGGAAUUCCCGGUGUAGCGGUGAAAUGCGCAGAUAUCGGGAGGAACACCAGUAGCGAAGGCGGUUCUCUGGGCCGGUACCGACGCUGAGGAGCGAAAGCGUGGGGAGCAAACAGG